UGGGGAAUCUUGCGCAAUGGCCUAACGGCUGACGCAGCGACGCCGCGUGAGGGAUGACGCUCUUCGGAGUGUAAACCUCUUUUGCCUGAGACGAAUUGUCAGCUUCAGCUGAUUUGACCGUAACGGGUGAAUAAGCACCGGCUAACUCCGUGCCAGCAGCCGCGGUAAUACGGGGGGUGCGAGCGUUGUCCGGAAUCACUGGGCGUAAAGGGCGCGUAGGUGGCCUGAUAAGGGUGUGGUGAAAGUCCGGGGCUCAACCCCGGAUCGGCCGUGCCGACUGUUGGGCUAGAGUACUGUAGGGGCAGGCGGAAUUCCGGGUGUAGCGGUGGAAUGCGUAGAGAUCCGGAGGAAGACCGGUGGCGAAGGCGGCCUGCUGGGCAGUUACUGACACUGAGGCGCGACAGCGUGGGGAGCAAAC
rnacentral:rRNA from 1 species